UACGUAGGGUGCAAGCGUUGUCCGGAAUUAUUGGGCGUAAAGAGCUCGUAGGCGGUUUGUCGCGUCUGCUGUGAAAACUGGAGGCUCAACCUCCAGCCUGCAGUGGGUACGGGCAGACUAGAGUGCGGUAGGGGAGAUUGGAAUUCCUGGUGUAGCGGUGGAAUGCGCAGAUAUCAGGAGGAACACCAAAUGCGAAGGCAGCAAACUGGCACAUUACUGACGCUGAGGCACGAAAGCGUGGGUAGCGAAUGGG
rnacentral:rRNA from 1 species